AUUGAACGCUGGCGGCAGGCUUAACACAUGCAAGUCGAGCGGAGAUGAGGUGCUUGCACCUUAUCUUAGCGGCGGACGGGUGAGUAAUGGUUAGGAAUCUGCCUAUUAGUGGGGGACAACAUUCCGAAAGGAAUGCUAAUACCGCAUACGCCCUACGGUGGAAAGCAUGGGAACUUCGGACCUUGCGCUAAUAGAUGAGCCUAAGUCGGAUUAGCUAGUUGGUGGGGUAAAGGCCUACCAAGGCGACGAUCUGUAGCGGGUCUGAGAGGAUGAUCCGCCACACUGGGACUGAGACACGGCCCAGACUCCUACGGGAGGCAGCAGUGGGGAAUAUUUGACAAUGGGCGGAAGCCUGAUCCAGCCAUGCCGCGUGUGUGAAGAAGGCCUUUUGGUUGUAAAGCACUUUAAGCGAGGAGGAGGCUACCUGGAUUAAUACUCUAGGAUAGUGGACGUUACUCGCAGAAUAAGCACCGGCUAACUCUGUGCCAGCAGCCGCCGUAAUAC
rnacentral:rRNA from 1 species